UACGUAGGGUGCGAGCGUUAAUCGGAAUUACUGGGCGUAAAGCGUGCGCAGGCGGUUCGCCAAGUCAGGUGUGAAAUCCCCGGGCUUAACCUGGGAAUUGCGCUUGAAACUAGCGGGCUUGAGUGUGGCAGAGGGGGGUGGGAAUUCCACGGUGUAGCAGUGAAAAUGCGUAGAGAUGUGGAGGAACACCGAUGGCGAAGGCAGCCCCCUGGGUCAACACUGACGCUGAGGAGCGAAAGCCAGGGGAGCAAACGGG
rnacentral:rRNA from 1 species